CCUUCUCUGCAGGGAGAUAAGCAGGGCACGGGGUGGCCGUGCCAUGUGUUGACACUGAUAGGUGCCGGGCCUGCCCAGUUGCACAUCGGCCAGCACAGCUUCCGUCACAGGACAGGGAUUGAGUUCAAGAUUCCCCAACACAAUCACAGCGUCACUGGCAGAAGUAACAACAGCUGUGCAUAUGGAAACACAACCACGUUCGAACUAGUCUCCUAAGGAAAUAAUCGACCAUCUUUUCUGAGCAUCAGGGGCCUGCCCGGGCUAUACCUGCUUCGUGGAGCUCAAGUGCUGACUAUUUUUAUUUCAUCACACUGCCAUGACCAGUACUUUUCAUGAUUCUGUGAGACGAUGGUGCUCGGCACUGAAAACAACAAACAAAACUCAGCAGACUUAGAGGGUGCGCAGCCCCACGAGCUCCUCGAGAGCUCUCAAGUUAGCAUAAAGUAACUUCAACUCAAUGCCUCUAAAACCCUAGAACACACAGCACUCACAGGCAAGAUAUCUUAGAUUUUUAAUUAAAAUCUAUCUUGUUCCAGUCAUUUUCUAGGGCAGCCUGUACCCUACAAAUGCCCGUCAGGCACAGGCAGCCGCUAAGCGAGUGAGGUGGGCAGUACCAACUGCCCAGGGCUCCAGCUGGAAGACGUGGGAUGGGGAAAAGCUGAAAUAAUCUCAUACAUUUUUAUAUAACACUCUUUAAGUGAUAAUAUUUUAUAGACUGAGUUAGAUAAGAUGCUGCAUUUUCCCCUUUUCAAUGUGACCAAUGGUGUUCACGCCAAAUCUCCACUGCAGCGCUGCUCUGGGCCGGAGAGCAUCCUGAGCUGGGGGCAGGAGGGAACUCAGGCUGCACAGGGGAUUUAACCCACCAGCUGUGCUUUGCCUCCUCUGCAUGCAUUUCAGGGUCUUCACAUUAAACCUUUUCUACCUCCAAAUUUCACAAAAAGACAAAAUUUCCAAAUGUCUGACCAAAUAAGAGGGGAUGGGAGUGUUUAAUACAGCAAUACACCACCAAAUUACACAAUAAAGUGAUGUUAAGUGGCAGACUUAAAACCAGUUUCAUCCAGACUAGAAACAGGAGACGUGUCUGGGAUCCGCACUCCCCUGCUUGCUCGCUGUCCAGCCUGUGGAUGGGGAGGAGAAUGGGGGACAGGCCUGGCCCAGCCACAUGGCCCUCUCCACAGAGAACAGGCCAUGGACAGCAGCCCCUCCUCAACCACCGUGGUUCAGGUGCCUGGCAUCACAGUGUCACAAAAACCUUGUGGUGGGUGCUGCACCAUGAGGAGGACAUGGAGGGGAAAGGAGAAGGUAGAGAGGACAGAACAGGACAGGGAAGACAAAUGACCUACAGAGAUGAAGGGGAGAAAAGGAAAAGUCAGAAACAAAACGUGAGGAGACGUGAAAAAUACGGAAGUAGACAGCAGAAGAAGAGGGAAACUGUAGGGAGGAGGCAGAUGGGAAAGAAAAAGAAAAAGCUUAUCUCCCCCUAGCUGAAGUGGAAGGAAAUUGAGGCCCAGAAAGGUCAGGCAAUGGGCCAGUGUCCCCCACCUAGCUCCUGGCUCAGCUCCUUCCCCCACUGCGCCCAGAGGAGACCCAGGAGGCCGCACCCCUGGAAGGGGAGGCAGCGGACGGGAAACAGGAGCCAGUGGGGGCGAGGCCAGGCAGAGGGCAGGGGGCAGGGGGCACGAGCCCGGCGCGGCUGUUACACAAGGUGGCCCCAGCUGCCACCGGGCCUCCGCCCACCUCGGUGUUGCGUCCCUGUCCGGGCGGUGACUCACCGGAGGCUGUGCCUGCAGCGGAGCAGGAGCCUUGGCCCCUCAGAGGAAGUCAGCAGUCAGUUUUCUUCAACAAACUUCCUGGCCCGGGUCUUGAGGCGCCCCUCCUGGCCCCAGAGGUCCCCGUCCCCACAGACUGGAGCAUGCCAUGAGCCUGCACCUCUCUAAGCUGCCCGCAGGCCACCAGGACUGCUUAGGAGAUCCGCGCAGAGCAGCAGCACAGGACCUGGUCACAGGAGGUGUGCAGCUGGGCCUGCAGUGACGAGUGUCUUUCACAGACACUGAACUCUGCCCAGGAAAGGUCCUGCUUCUCAGCAGUCGCCAGCACACAUGACAGUGGACAGAGCAGGUACUGAGGACGGCAAGCCCACAGUCUACCUUUCCAGUAAUGCUACUUAGGUUGCCUGGCUGAAAAAAACGAGGCAGUACAGACAAAUACACGUUAUUAACAAUAAAAUUCAGGUAAGGGAAUUGACACAAAAGGAAAACAAGGACAUGAAAUGAAAGAAAGGCAAUAGAGUUGCAUUUAAUCUAAUAUUCACUUACUGCUCAUGCGAUUGAAGACAGAACGAGACUUUCUAAGCUGUGGAGUGGAUGGGCCAGCCCUCUGCUACCCGUGUUAAGGCUCCGGAGAGCCAGAAAAACCUCAUUUGGGAGUUCACGCUGAAAAUACAGCCUUACAACUAAAUAAAGCACCAACUAGAGCUCUGAAUUCCAACAUCACAGAAAAGGCACCACAUUCCAAGGGAUUUUUCGGGGUCACGCCCUGGCAGCCCCCAGGUGCUACCCUUUCCCAGUUCACUGAUGGGCCCUCUCAUUACACAGCUGACCUAAAUAACAUCUGAAAACUCUCGCCAUUAUGUAAACUACCUUGGCUUGGUACAGAGGCAAAAUGAGGGUAGGAAAAGGAGGAAUUCUUGCUUCUUCCUCAUCUCUUCAUAACAAGUUUCACAAAUCUAAACUGACAAAAAUCACCGAAAUUCAGCCUCGAAAGACUCCAGGCUGUGUUCAGUCAGUCAAAUUAGAGCAAGGUUUAGCUGUACAUCUGUGCCCUGAAAGCCACGGUAAGGGCUUGAAGAGCUUGCUCUUUCUGCCUCCCCCCACUCGUCAAAGCCCCAGCAGCUGAGCUGGGGUCAGGCCACCUGGCCCAUGCUGCGCAGGUUCGGGUGACACCUGCAGCGGCUGGGGUGGCCACGCACACAGGUGGCCCUUGGCCCUGGCCACCAGGAGCAAGAGCACUGUCGCCCUCCUGGGCUGGUCUGGAAGAGUCCCAGACCCCACGUAUACAGCAUCUACCAUGGGUAAGGGUUUGUCCCCGAGAUAAGGCUUCAGCCCCAGACAGAGAAGGGGAUCCAAAACCACCCAGCUGCUAGCAAAGCCACCCAGACAACUUUUCAUUCAAACGCCU